rnacentral:SRP_RNA from 1 species
GCCAGGCGUGGUGGCGCAUGCCUGUAAUCCCAGCUACUCGGGAGGCUGAGGCAGGGGAAUCACUUGAACCUGGGAAGCCAGGUUGCAGUGAGCUGAGAUCAUGCCACUGCACUCCAGCCUGGGCUACAGAGUGAGACUCUGUCUCAA